UGGUUAGAGCACAUCACUCAUAAUGAUGGGGUCCCCUGUUCAAAUCAGGGUGUAGCCACCA
rnacentral:tRNA from 1 species